ensembl:lncRNA
UGCAAACUACAAAUGAGGAACAAAGUGGUCGUCUGAGGCAUCAUUAGCGGCAUUCCAGCAUAGCUGCCCUCGCUGGAGGGAACAAAAGAGCGCGUCUGGAGCGCAGGGGUAGCAUGUUUCAGCGCCGCGCGCGUCCCCCGGCGGCUUUAAUAAGGGCCGGCUAAGGACGGGAUAAUCACUGGUAUUACAGCCCCAGCCCCUGCUUAAUGGGGAUAUAUCAGCUCUCUGGCAAUGGCUCAAACAAAAGCCUUGGCCAUUGGGCAACGGGAGAAAGAAAUAAACAAUAACAGUCCGCGACUUAACCGUCCUGGCGGGCGACUUGGAGAGAGAACAGUGUGUUGUUUGGACCAAGCUUGGUUUCAACAUUUCCGCAAUUUAUUCGGAAGUGACAGUGAGGACGAAUAAAACAAUUGCACCACAGCAGUCCAAGAGCGACGACCGCCAGGGUCCACUCGGAGCGGACCAUCGUCUCGCCACUAGAAGACCGGUGCUCACAGAUGAACAUAUCACCAUGUACACAGCAUGCCCUCCUACCAACCUUCAAUCACAUGGGCUGGUGAAAGGACCUAUAGACAACCCCGCUUUCUAGGAGUCCACCCUGCACCCCCUUCGUCCUCCCACGUCGGACUUAAGCAAACAACUCAACACCUGAUCCUGACCCUAGAUCCUACUAUCAACAGCUCCUCUGCACUAUCAACUGUUUGGGUUAGCCCUAACCCUAACACUAACCCUAGAUAAAUACAUUGGCAAUGUCUUUCUCACAUUCAGAUUGAAGUUUAAAAUAAUUUUGCGACCAUAUAUGUUCAUAAAACUGAACAUUGAUGAUCUCACAGACCUAUUGAUAG